AGAGUUUGAUCCUGGCUCAGGAUGAACGCUGGCGGCGUGCUUAACACAUGCAAGUCGAACGAAGCACUUUAUUUGAUUUCUUCGGAAUGAAGAUUUUGUGACUGAGUGGCGGACGGGUGAGUAACGCGUGGGUAACCUGCCUCAUACAGGGGGAUAACAGUUGGAAACGACUGCUAAUACCGCAUAAGCGCACAGGGUCGCAUGACCUGGUGUGAAAAACUCCGGUGGUAUGAGAUGGACCCGCGUCUGAUUAGCCAGUUGGUGGGGUAACGGCCUACCAAAGCGACGAUCAGUAGCCGACCUGAGAGGGUGACCGGCCACAUUGGGACUGAGACACGGCCCAAACUCCUACGGGAGGCAGCAGUGGGGAAUAUUGCACAAUGGGGGAAACCCUGAUGCAGCGACGCCGCGUGAGCGAAGAAGUAUUUCGGUAUGUAAAGCUCUAUCAGCAGGGAAGAAGAAAUGACGGUACCUGACUAAGAAGCACCGGCUAAAUACGUGCCAGCAGCCGCGGUAAUACGUAUGGUGCAAGCGUUAUCCGGAUUUACUGGGUGUAAAGGGAGCGCAGGCGGUACGGCAAGUCUGAUGUGAAAGCCCGGGGCUCAACCCCGGUACUGCAUUGGAAACUGUCGGACUAGAGUGUCGGAGGGGUAAGUGGAAUUCCUAGUGUAGCGGUGAAAUGCGUAGAUAUUAGGAGGAACACCAGUGGCGAAGGCGGCUUACUGGACGAUUACUGACGCUGAGGCUCGAAAGCGUGGGGAGCAAACAGGAUUAGAUACCCUGGUAGU
rnacentral:rRNA from 1 species